GACAUAAAGACCAGAAUCGUAGUGAGUGUUUCCAAACAUGGCAUCUGGUGGUCGAAAUGUGAAGUUUGCUUGCUCUUUGCAGCUUUUUUAAAAGUGAUUUGCACUCUGCACUCUGCACUCUGCACUUUUGCAGUAGCAGUACCCCGAUGGUGAGGUUGAUGUGUGGUCGGCAUUUUCGAAUGAUCAAAACCAAGUCGGUUGAUUUUUCAAAAACCAUCCUGACAUGGUUAUUUCAAUCCUGAGUAGGUAGGAUGAAUUCUCCUCAAUGUGCCUUUCCUGUCGCAGCAUUUAUUUGUUUCUAUGCAGCUAGAGUUUAAUUUUCAAGUGACUUCUGAGUUGCUUCAUAUGAUUACUAAGACCAGUAUGUGCCUACUCACAGUUCACCUGUCCAGUAUUGGCAAUUAUGGGAUUCCUGAAAGCCAUCUUCCUUUAUGGAGCAACAUGUCCCGAUGACAGAAGAUUUUGAUUUUUGGGUUGGAUCUGGCAACGUUUUCUAGUGUAUCCAUUAUCCUGGUGCGGUAUCAAGUGGAAUGGAAGUACAGCAGCACAUUACAACGAAAACUAUUGAAUUUCCAGACUUAGUUUUUUCCAAGGAAUUCACCGUUUCUUAGUUUUUUCCAAGGAAUUCACCGUUUUUUACCAGUGAGGAUAUGAUUAUUGCAGUUCUUGUUACCAUUGCAGCAGCUGUUUUCUUGUCAUGUACACACCGCAAUAUCUCCUUCACUAGUAACCUCCAGAUGGGUUUCAUAAUUGUUUGUAGAUCUCUUACCAUGGAUGUUGAAGUCGACCCUGGUGUGUCGGUCUGCAGCAAGGCCCCCGACCUAUGGAGAAGCCCCAACCCUAACCCAACCAAGAAGAAGCAAAGAUCAAUUGCGUUGCGUCUGGCACACUUAGACCCUGAACAGAACACUUGGCGCCAUAAGUGGCUGACUCAAAAGUACAAUCCCAGAAUUGACUGAAGCAUUACCUAAGCUCUGUGGAAUCCCACCUGGUAACAUGAUUGUAGCAUUCGUUCGUCAAGCCUUCACGAACGAAAGCAGCAAUUAUGAAAUCAGCAUUAGCAAAGCAGCUUGAGCGUGAUGUUAUGCUAUAAGUGCUCAGUUGUAUUGAUUGCUAUGGAUCUACGUAUGAGCUACCGGAAAUGCUUGGGACACCGAACGCUUGCUGUGUUCGGUGUUCCCUUCAUUAGUCAAGUGUCUUGGGAAGAAUAAUUCAUGGGGCUUCUAAAUUGCCCUAUGCCCUACAAAACGAGCGACUAACCAUACCUAGUAGGCGACGUCAGGAUCGUAUAUUUAUCAAGGGCAAUGACCACCUCCUGAGUGGUUUUACGUACAAAUCGGAUGUAUUCGGAUUGGAGUUGGCUGGUUGCUUGAAAAAAGAAGAUUUCAGUCGUCACCUUGGGUUGCAUUGUAUUGAUUGGUGCAUAGCAGAUACUAUGUCUUUAGAUACAAAUAACAUGCCAUAGCCUUUGUGGCCUAAUGGAUAAGGCACCGGCUUCCUAAGCCGUGGAUUGGAACUUCAUUUCUCGCCAGAGAUAUUUAUAUCGGUGUGUAAUACUAGGCCAAAGCAGCGUAACGAAAUAUGUUUUAUAUAGAGUUACUCUCGAUUACUUAAAUAAGGUUGCAUAAUUUAGAUCUAUUGCAAAAAGAAGACGAAGACUAAAACCACAAACGCUGGAACAAAAUCUAUUUAUUGUAUCAGUAUCAGGUAGAAAAACAAGUCCAAAUUUCAAUUAUCUUCCAAGUAUAGCGCGCCUUCAGAACUUGAAACGACUUAUUUGAAGACAAAACCUUCAUUUCAACUAAGUUGGCUCACCGUCGUCGAAAAGGUUUGAACAAUCCUUAACACUCGCUGCCAUCGUCAUAAAGUAAUUAAGUUUCGCGGUGAUCCUCAUCUCGAAUUUUUGAUAAGCAUUUUUAAUGAAAUUUAAGUGCGUACCGUCACAGUUUUUCCAAUACAGGCAAACUAAUUCCGUCAAAGAGGAUCAUUGCGAGACAUAAGUUAUUUUGUGUUUGAGAUAGUGCCUAGCAUUGUUCAAAACUCUUCGGCGUCGAUGAACAUCUGCACCUACAGGUUUAUCGACAAGUUCCUUUGAAUUACCAUACAGGGAAAAGGCGUCGCAUCAAAUAGAAAAGGAGUUGAUUCGAUAUCCUGCGGAAUCCCUGUUUGCUUCAUGUAAGACGUUUGAGAGUCGGGAACAAGAGAUAGUAGCCAUUUUGAUUGAUAAUACCUUUUGUUUCUUGACGACUUUUGCGUUAAUAAGCGAAGAUGUUCGGGAACAAGACUCGUGAAAAGCUUUUGGACAUGUGGAAAGAUUAAUGUAAAGAAAAACUCGGGGCAAGUUUGGAGGGAUUGUAGGAAGGAUUGCACAACUAACGUUCAUCGAUUCAUCUUCUAAUUACGGUGUUCUUAUGCUUCCGUCGUUUUUCAAAUUCUCAUAACUUCGCGAAAUUCGUUUUUGACCAGUUGACUACAAUUGGGUUUCGUUUUGCGUUACUAAUGUUUACCUAACGCCUGCUUUUAUCUAAAUCACGUGAACGGGAAUUUUGAAUAAAAAAGAAAUACAGAGAGAAAUCAAAUUGGAAAUCUCGAAGAAAAGUUUGCUUCGUUAUUAGUGGCAGAUUGAUUAGGCUGGAUUGCUAAGCUAGAAUCCUUCCUGCAUGAUAAAAUUUGGAAUGCGACAGUGGACCCCCCGACACCAGAAAUAUGAGAGCUCCCAUCCCAUGGAAUUCUCUGUCGAAAUGUUAUCCAGAAAUGUUUGAAACUUCGUAUUAGGGCCAUUGACAUUAUUUAACGAGGAUGUGGCUACAACAGUUCCCUGACGACAACCGCAUUCGCAGUUGCACCCCAAGAUGUUGCAACGUUCAACCCCCCAGUACGGAGUUCCAGCUGUGCCAUCACGACAACAGCAUUUGGUAACCUUGUAGCAACAAUCGGCACCCACCAGUCCACAUGUAAUAGCGAAAAUAGCGAAAACAACAGAGAUGCUGCACAUGGCGUGGCGAAAACAGACUAUCAAAACGGGUUGUUCGAAAGUAGAAAGCAGUCUACCAUUAAAGGUAAGGCAUUUAUCUAAUGAAAUAUUAAUAAAUUGCAUUUCAGUCAAGUUUGCUAGGCUGGAAAAAAUUCCUUUCGAAUGUGGGGUCCGUGAUGGAUAUUGCAAGAGAAACAUUCUGCAUUCAUGUGUUUUGUGUUUUUUUCUUAUUCGAAAGGAACAGCCUAGGAGAGUACAACAUUUCUGUGUCGAAAGGAUUUCUACUAGAAAUCGGGGAGAAAUAAACAAAAUAAUAAAAAGUUAAAAACCCAUUAAGUUUACUUCUUUUUGUAAAGAAAUGAAUUUGACAUCGCUGUUGAUCAGUUCAGAAAUGAUGAUCAUUCUACUUGUUCAUCUUGAAGGAGUCGUUGCGUUUUAAAGUCUUGAUGAUUCUUUGUUUGGUACUUAUGUGUACUUACUCGUACUUCUUUUGUUGUUUGCACAAGGCAUACAGGGCGAGUUAUCAAGACGACAAUUGCAAGAGUUUUCUGUCUCUGUCUCAUGGUUGUAACCAUUGUAACAAGUGAGAAAGAAAGAAAACGAAAUGAAAAAACGAUCAGCUGGUCGACAUUUCGUAGUCUGGUGGAAAUGCAAAAGCCACGAACUAAUCGCCCAUUGUAAACCAAACGUCUGUCAAUGGCUGUGCUGUGCUUAAAGAAAACAAAAUUCUCUACCCCACUUCCAGGUGAGUUGUUAGAUAUUUCUUCUCUUUCUUUGCAUGUGUAGUUACACCGUGUGUUUAGAGAAACGCCUGAAAUCUUGACGACUCCUAGUCUUUUGGGUGUGAGAUUUGCUAUUUCAAUCGUUUCCGUUUUCCUAAAUUUUUUUAAGAAGACCCCUUAACUAACAUGUAUUUUUAAAAUGCACUAGAUCCACCCUUGCACAGACACAAAUAUUGUCUCCACCUUUCAGUACUUUAUUUUCUUGUCACGUUACAUAUUUUGGCGCCAUUUCUGCUGCAAUCGCAUUAGAGUUGGAGGCCUUUGUUGACAUUGUUUUUUUUUAAAUCUUAGCAACAAGCUCCAAAUGUGCAUCUGUUGUAUGGUGUUUUCCCUUUUAAUCUAGAGCUGACAAAUUCUUUUCUCUCAGAUGUGCUUCUUUAGUGUACCGAGUGUUAAUUAGAACAAAGCAAAGCUGGCGUGGCCACAGUGGUUUCCUUCAUGACAAAUUAAUGUAAUUUUUGAAACAUCUCGGUGAAUUUUCAUAGGGUUUCUAUCGUCUUUUCGUUCCUUUCAUCCAAUCCAAAUGUGAUAUUGUUUUAUGUUUUGUUUUCACUGGAUGUUCAAACUGUUCGUCGGUUUUGUUUCCGUUUUGCUAUCAACUGGAGAACGCAGUCUAUCAGCUGAUCUUAGAACUAUAAUUUAAAAUCAUAGCCUACUUUAAUACUGGCCACAAAGCGUACCCUUCUGUGAGGUCCUAUAUUAGCCACCCAACUACCCUCAGCCGAUGGAGACCACGUACCAAUUAGAUCGGCGUGGCCAUUCUCGAAAAGUAUUGUAUUAUCAUAUUUAUUGUAUAUUUUCGAAUAAAUAUUGUGAAUUGCUUAUGUUCUUAUCACCAUUAGCGGUCAAA